rnacentral:rRNA from 1 species
UACGGAGGGUGCAAGCGUUAUCCGGAUUCACUGGGUUUAAAGGGUGCGUAGGUGGGCAUGUAAGUCAGUGGUGAAAUCUCCGGGCUUAACCCGGAAACUGCCGUUGAUACUAUCUGUCUUGAAUAUUGUGGAGGUGAGCGGAAUAUGUCAUGUAGCGGUGAAAUGCUUAGAUAUGACAUAGAACACCAAUUGCGAAGGCAGCUCGCUACACAUAUAUUGACUCUGAGGCACGAAAGCGUGGGGAUCAAACAGG